GGGCAUUUGGUCUAGUGGUAUGAUUCUCGUUUAGGGUGCCAGAGGUCCCGAGUUCAAUUCUCGGAAUGCCCC
rnacentral:tRNA from 1 species